rfam:Danio rerio chromosome 2, GRCz11 reference primary assembly.
GCCGGCAGUUAGCUUUCUGGAACUCUCACAUGGUCGUCCACUGAAGCUAUGCAGGGCUUCGCCCGGUCAGUACCUGGAUGGGAGACCACAUGGGAAAGCUAGGUUCCUGCUGGAA